rnacentral:tRNA from 1 species
CGGGGCGUAGCGCAGCCUGGUAGCGCACCGCACUGGGGGUGCGGCGGUCGGAGGUUCAAAUCCUCUCGCCC